GUGGGGAAUCUUGCGCAAUGGGCGAAAGCCUGACGCAGCCAUGCCGCGUGAAUGAUGAAGGUCUUAGGAUUGUAAAAUUCUUUCACCGGGGACGAUAAUGACGGUACCCGGAGAAGAAGCCCCGGCUAACUUCGUGCCAGCAGCCGCGGUAAUACGAAGGGGGCUAGCGUUGCUCGGAAUUACUGGGCGCAAAGGGCGCGUAGGCGGACAGUUUAGUCAGAGGUGAAAGCCCAGGGCCCAACCUUGGAAUUGCCUUUGAUACUGGCUGUCUUGAGUACGGGAGAGGUGGGUGGAACUCCGAGUGUAGAGGUGAAAUUCGUAGAUAUUCGGAAGAACACCAGUGGCGAAGGCGACUCACUGGCCCGUUACUGACGCUGAGGCGCGAAAGCGUGGGGAGCAAACAGGAUUAGAAACCCCGGUAGUCC
rnacentral:rRNA from 1 species